GGAGAGGUGGCCGAGCGGCUGAAGGCGGCACCCUGCUAAGGUGUUAUACUCGUAAGGGUAUCGAGGGUUCGAAUCCCUCCCUCUCCGCCA
rnacentral:tRNA from 2 species